rnacentral:rRNA from 1 species
UUCGGCUUAGAGUUUGAUCCUUGGCUCAGAUUUGACCGCUGGCGGCAUGCUUUACACAUGCAAGUCGANCGNCAGCGGGGGCUUCGGCCUNCCGGCGAGUGGCGAACGGGUGAGUAAUGCAUCGGAACGUGCCCAGUCAUGGGGGAUAACUACGCGAAAGCGUAGCUAAUACCGCAUACGCCCUGAGGGGGAAAGCGGGGGAUCGCAAGACCUCGCGUGAUUGGAGCGGCCGAUGUCGGAUUAGCUAGUUGGUGGGGUACAGGCCUACCAAGGCGACGAUCCGUAGCGGGUCUGAGAGGAUGAUCCGCCACNCUGGGACUGAGACACGGCCCAGACUCCUACGGGAGGCAGCAGUGGGGAAUUUUGGACAAUGGGGGCAACCCUGAUCCAGCCAUGCCGCGUGAGUGAAGAAGGCCUUCCGGUUGUAAAGCUCUUUCAGACGGAAAGAAAUCGGGUG